rnacentral:lncRNA from 1 species
UGACCCCUCCUCAUGGCAGCCCUUUACCCCAGGACAGUGCUCGGGGUUGGCUCUAGCCCUGCAGCCAUCACCUCAGCAAGGGUUUUGGGCUCCCCCAGGUUGAGGUAAGGGGAGCCGGGAGCCAGUUCCCCAAGGGGGGCGGGGGGGGGCAGAGCCAAUGCCAGGGGGCCUCUCCGGCUGCAGUGAGGAGAGAGGGACAGAGGCAGCGGCAGCCUAGCCCCGCCCACCUCUUGCCCGAGAAAAGCACCCCCACCCAGAAGCCCAAGCAUGCAGCUUGCCUGCCCCCCUGGGCCUCCGGAGGGGCCGGAGAGCAGGUCCCCAUUUGCAGCCAGGGCUCACCUUCUCCAGAGAGGCUUCUGCAGCUCUGCCUGGCAGCCACUCUGUCCUUAUAUUCCUGGGGACGCUGUCAUCUUGCAUCCACGCAGGCCGGUGACACCUCCUUGAGCUCUUGGACUUUAGCAGGAAUGUGACGUGGAGGCCUGCAUGGCCACAAGGUUGCUGGUUAUCUGUAGCUCCACAGCAGAAUUCUUGCCCGGUGCCCCGGCCUCUGCCAGCAGGGAGAAGACGGCGCAACCUGGCCAGGUCUAAGGUUGGGAGAGCAGGAGAGGAAAGAGCAAGAUUCUUGUAGUGAUCAACAGAUAAGAGAUGAACAGAGUUGGAAGGGAUCUUGUAGGUCAUCUAGUCCAAUCCCCCCCCCCCCCAAGCAGGAGACCCUAAACCAUUUCUGGUAGUCCAGUCUCUUCUUGAAAGCCUCCAGGGAUGAAGCUCCCACAACUUCCAAAGGCAACUUCUAUUCCACAGCUAUUAUGGCAAGGUAUUGCAUCAUCUGCAGACCAACAACCCUUCCUCUUCUGCACCGUCUCUCUUUGGCAAAAGACCCUUCUGGCUCCCACUACACAAUCUGAUGACAACCACCCUGGAGACUCGAAGCAGGUGGAGGCUUCCUGCAGAGACAGUGUCCUUCAAGGUGCCCCUGCAACCAACGCAAGAGCCGUUCAAGCACUUAGGUGGGGUUGUAUGGCCUAAGCCGGAGGCCCGGCUAUUUUACCCCUUUGGGGCCCUGAUCCAGCCCAUUUUCAGUAGGUGAAAAGCUUCGCUCUGCAACCCUGCCAGCCAAAUGGGGCUACAGAUUGAACAUGGGGAAGAAUUGGCUCUCCAGGUCCAGCUUGGGGUGAAGGCAGAAGAGGCCACGCAGGCUCCCAAAGGCUGGCCUUCCAAGACCCGCCCUGGGCUUCCUUUCUCUCCUCCCGCUGGUUCCCCUCUGGCGUUGCCAGCUUCCACCCAGGCUCCCCGUGCCAGGCCUAACCACCACGACGCCAACC